GGACGAAGAAAGAUUGGAAAAUUGAUCGGAUUUUUUCGGGUGCUUAAACCAUUUAUCAACUUCAUCUUCUUCAGACUCUUGAAGAGCUCUGUUCUCUGGUUGUUGGAAUGAGUCUGAACCAUCUAUGAAACUCCAAAUGUCAGGAUCUAAAUCAAAAGGCAUCUCCAGCAGCUCUGCAAAAGACAUUGAAGCAUUUGGAGAUGACUCUUGAGAGUUCUCUUCUUCAUUCAAAGAACCUUUUGAACCCGCUUCAUCGGCAUUAAGGCAGCUUAGAAGCAAUCUUCGACCACCUGAAUCCAAAAUGCAGAAAAGCUAUUGUCAAAAUCAAAACUUUGAGCCCACAACAAGACAUUAACAAGAUAACACAUACUUGUUACCAAAGCUCUGGUGAAGUUUGAUGAUGGUGUCUUCUUCCUCUGCACUGAAAUUGCCACGUUUCACAUCAGGUCUGAGGUAAUUAAUCCAUCGCAGACGACAACUCUUGCCACACCUCAACAAUCCUUCAUUGCAUGCAUAGAUAGAAUCAGAACCAGAAGACUAGAAAAGCUAAAGAAAGAGGCUUUUAAAGAUCAUAGACAUACCAGCUUGCUUUGGGAGAGAUCUCCAAUUCUCAUGACCAUUCUUGUGAAUGAAAGAGAUGAGUUUCAAGUCUUCAUCAUGGCUCCAUGGUCCUCUCUUCACUUUGGUUUUGUCACAACAUGGUGCUCUUCCUUUGCCCAUAUUCUCUCUCUCCUCUCUCACAGACACACACUUUUGAGAUUCCCUCUUACCAAAUCCAAUU
rnacentral:lncRNA from 1 species